AUGGGCUUCACAUUCAUCACUCGACGUCUCUCUGCCUCACCGCGUACUCGGACACGGAAUGGGCAGGCUGCCCCGACACCAGGUGCUCCACCUCCGGCUACGUCGUCUACCUCGGCGACUCCAUGGUCUCCUGGUCUUCCAAGCGCCAGCCACCGUCUCGCAAUCGAGCGCCGAGGCGGAGUACCGAGCCGUCGCAAACACCGUCGCCGAGUGCUGUUGGCUACGGCAGUUGCUCGGGGUGAGCUUCGCAUCGCCUUGCCGAAGGCCACGGUCGUCUUUUGCGAGCCAACCAAGUCCAUCAUCGGCGGACGAAACAUAUCGAGCACGACAUCCACUUCGUCAGGGAGAAAGUUGCUCUCGGCCACCUGCGCGUCUUGCAUGUCCCCCACCAAGCAGCAGUCCGCUGAUGUCAUGAUGAAGGGGCUUCUGACGCCGGCAUUCCAAGAAUUCCGGUCCAGCCUGUGCAUCCGGCCACCGGAUGCUUCAGCUGCGGCGGGGUUUUAG
rnacentral:rRNA from 1 species